GCGGGUGUAUCACAAUGGUAGUGAACGGCGUUGCCAACGCUGGUACGAGGGUCCGAUUCCCUUCACCCGCUCCA
rnacentral:tRNA from 1 species